rnacentral:rRNA from 1 species
AAGCCAAAUUAAGGUGAAACCGCGAAAGGCUCAUUAAAUCAGUUAUGGUUCCUUAGAUCGUACCCACAAUUACUUGGAUAACUGUGGUAAUUCUAGAGCUAAUACAUGCAAACAGAACUCCGACCGGAGACGGAAGGAGUGCUUUUAUUAGAUCAAAACCUAUCGGUAGCGGGUUCGCC